GACGAACGCUGGCGGCGUGCUUAACACAUGCAAGUCGAACGGAAAGGCCCUGCUUUUGUGGGGUGCUCGAGUGGCGAACGGGUGAGUAACACGUGAGUAACCUGCCCUUGACUUUGGGAUAACUUCAGGAAACUGGGGCUAAUACCGGAUAGGAGCUCCUGCUGCAUGGUGGGGGUUGGAAAGUUUCGGCGGUUGGGGAUGGACUCGCGGCUUAUCAGCUUGUUGGUGGGGUAGUGGCUUACCAAGGCUUUGACGGGUAGCCGGCCUGAGAGGGUGACCGGCCACAUUGGGACUGAGAUACGGCCCAGACUCCUACGGGAGGCAGCAGAGGGGAAUAUUGCACAAUGGGCGGAAGCCUGAUGCAGCAACGCCGCGUGCGGGAUGACGGCCUUCGGGUUGUAAACCGCUUUCGCCUGUGACGAAGCGUGAGUGACGGUAAUGGGUAAAGAAGCACCGGCUAACUACGUGCCAGCAGCCGCGGUGAUACGUAGGGUGCGAGCGUUGUCCGGUUUUAUUGGGCGUAAAGGGCUCGUAGGUGGUUGAUCGCGUCGGAAGUGUAAUCUUGGGGCUUAACCCUGAGCGUGCUUUCGAUACGGGUUGACUUGAGGAAGGUAGGGGAGAAUGGAAUUCCUGGUGGAGCGGUGGAAUGCGCAGAUAUCAGGAGGAACACCAGUGGCGAAGGCGGUUCUCUGGGCCUUUCCUGACGCUGAGGAGCGAAAGCGUGGGGAGCGAACAGGCUUAGAUACCCUGGUAGUCCACGCUGUAAACGGUGGGUACUAGGUGUGGGGUCCAUUCCACGGGUUCCGUGCCGUAGCUAACGCUUUAAGUACCCCGCCUGGGGAGUACGGCCGCAAGGCUAAAACUCAAAGGAAUUGACGGGGCCCCGCACAAGCGGCGGAGCAUGCGGAUUAAUUCGAUGCAACGCGUAGAACCUUACCUGGGUUUGACAUGGAUCGGGAGCGCUCAGAGAUGGGUGUGCCUCUUUUGGGGUCGGUUCACAGGUGGUGCAUGGCUGUCGUCAGCUCGUGUCGUGAGAUGUUGGGUUAAGUCCCGCAACGAGCGCAACCCUUGUUCACUGUUGCCAGCACGUUAUGGUGGGGACUCAGUGGAGACCGCCGGGGUCAACUCGGAGGAAGGUGGGGAUGACGUCAAGUCAUCAUGCCCCUUAUGUCCAGGGCUUCACGCAUGCUACAAUGGCUGGUACAGAGAGUGGCGAGCCUGUGAGGGUGAGCGAAUCUCGGAAAGCCGGUCUCAGUUCGGAUUGGGGUCUGCAACUCGACCUCAUGAAGUCGGAGUCGCUAGUAAUCGCAGAUCAGCAACGCUGCGGUGAAUACGUUCCCGGGGCU
rnacentral:rRNA from 1 species